CAAUUUCCUUUGAACACACUCAUUUUCUGAUUGAAGAGAAUACAGAGAAUGUGGAUUUUCCUGGUGCCAAGUUGUUCUUCCAUUCCUCGGCCAAGUUUCCAUUCUGAUUAACUCAAGAUUCACUUGGAACCCUUUCCUUGCUAUGGCCAUUAAUCCUAAACUGCUUUAUCAGGAACUUGGCCCAAUCUGAGUUAGUUUCCUUCCUUGGAUACCUGCCUUAAACCAGAUCCUCAAACCUCAUAAAUAUCCCUCCUAGAAAAUAAGACUCUGUCAAGGGAGUAUUCUUUCUUAUUUCAGUAGGCAAUGAACUUGAUGCUGUUUUAUCAACAAGUUGAUUAAGUGAUGAUUAGGGUAUCAGUAAUCAACAUUGAUUUGAACCCUGGCUAGCUACAACACUUCCUAGCUGUGUGAUCUUGGGAAACAUUUCUGAGAUGGUUAAUACUGAGUGUCAACUUGAUUGGACUGAAGGAUGUAAAGUAUUGUUCCUGGGUGUGUCUGUAAGGGUGUUGCCAAAGGAGAUCAAUGGACUGGGAGAGGCAGACCCACCCUCAAUCUGGGUGGGCACCAUCUAACCAACUGCUAGCGUGGCUAGAAUAAAGCAGGCAGAAGGACGUGGAAGGACUUGACUUCCUGAAUCUUCUGGUCCUCAUCUUUUCCCCGUGCUGGAUGCUUGCUGCCCUCAAACAUCGGACUCCAAGUUCUUCAGCUUUGGGACUCUUGGACUUACAAGCUCUCUGGCCUUCGGCAACAGACUGAAGGCUGCACUUUCGGAUUCCCUACUUUUGAGAUUUUGGGACUCAGACUGGCUUCCUGGUUCCUCAGCUUGCAGACGGCCUAUUGUAGGACUUCACAAGUCUCACCUCAUAGCCUAUUCAUUACCGCUGAAAGUGAUUCAGAUUGUCAAGGCCCAUCUUCUAUACAGCGCUUCCCAAAGUGACGUCGGUAGACCAGUACCAGUAAGAAAACUGUUUCUAGUCUGAUAAGGGCACAGAUGUCGGAGCCAGACUGCCUGGACUCAAAUCUCAGAACCUGCAUUUAUUAGCUGUGUGACUUUGGAUAAUCCUCUCUCCACAACUUGAUAAUGCACAAACUGCAAAUCUUCUGGUACUCACUGCUGCAAGCAAACUUGAAGUCUUUCUGAGCCUGACUCUUCAUUCCUGCCUUGUGUGACCCAGGGAUGGAGGACUGCCCUCCCAACUCAUUAUCCUCUUUGCCCAGGAGCUCCAUCCUGUUGCCAUCUGCUAAAAUCCUCAGCCCACCUGCAUAGUGAACAGCAUUCAUUGUUUUCCAGAAAUGUGCAAGAACCACAGUCUCCCCCAAGACUGAAGGUAACAUCAGGAAGCAUACUAUGUAAGACAGAUACAAAGGGGAGCUGCUGUAUGGUGAUAUAUACUGGAUUAAGAGGAGAGCUUUUAAAGAUGAAUACUUAAACAAAAGGAAAAGGGCAUUCCAAGCAGAAAGAGCAAGAAAAAAGGAAAAUUAGAUGAGUCUAUUGUAAUUAUAAUUCUACAACUCAUUACCAACGUUUGAAGAGGUCUCUCACACUCUGGGACUACUAUGCACCCAUGCUAAUCAUCUUGGGGCUGGAUACCAGACAACUGGAGACAGCCCCUAUGUCCUGGUGCUUGAGAAAUUAUUCAAAUUAUCCAACCUGCAGCAAGUAUAUGAAACCUAGCUAACCUCAUCUCUCUUGCCAUACACAAGCUGCCCACUACAGAUUCAGCUUGCUCUUAGCCUAUCCUGAGCUAACUCCCUGUGCGGCACUGCAUAGGGAGUUCUCUCUUUUGGCCCAGAUACCAUAUUUCAUUUAGUUGUCAUUUCUCCUUAAACUUCUCUUGGUUGUGAUAGUUUCUUAGAUUGUCUUUGUUUUUGAUGACCUGGACCAUUUUGAAGGCUACUAGACAGAAAGGGUCACUACAGAUUUUCUUUAAGCGGCACACACACCUCAUGCCAGAAUGCUGAAAUACGGAUUAUCUGGGCAUGUUUUCACUGAGAAAGGCAGAGCAAAUGAUGGAGGAGAGAGAGUAAAACAUAAAGGAGGUAACUGGUAACUGGAGAAGGGGAGGAAUCGAAAACAUAGCAAAGGGGGUCUUAGCUUAGCAAUUAGGAGCUCCAUUUUUUCUAUAAAUACCUUUAACCUUUAGAUGAUUAAUAGUUAGCAAAGCCUGACUGGCACUAACUUAGGAAAAUUAAAGACUUCCAUAUUUAUGGAUAAGAUCCUGACAAACUCAGAAACAUCUAUGCCCUUUUGCCACCUCACUUGUGAUCACUAUGAAAAGCUAAAAUAGUGUAGAAAUAUACCUGAGCUUAGAAAUUAGGAAAGAGUAACAUUCAAGUGCUAGCCCUGAGCUUGCAUCCCACCACAGUUCACUGUGUAUUAAGAAAAAUUAAUGAAAUGAAAUCAGUACCUAGAUCCAAGCAGGACACAUUUCUGAAUGUUAUGGAUUUAAAAGAUGGCAGGAACAUUCAGGCUAAAAUAUGGUAACAAGCCAAAACAAAAACAUUCCAUGUGGAUUACAAAAGCCAACUGGACUUCAAACUUCUCUCAAACAUUAACCUUAAAAUAAAAUCUAUGUAGGUUUGUCUAGCUAAUUUGUCCACUUCUGUAGGACACAGAGAUGACUGUUCAGUUAUGAAAGCACACAGACGGUAGAAAAAUCAUGUGCCUUAUUGAAAAUUUUCUUGAGGCAUUCAGUAAUUGAGCAGUAAGAUGAUUUGAAACCUCAAAAAGUAAAAUUGUCAUAAUUAUUGACAUCAGUUAAAUAUAAAAUUCAUAUUAUUUCCAACUAAUUUUAUUUUUAUUAACUUAUUAUAGGCAUAACAUGAACAAAAAUCACUGCAAAACACUCAUAAUAAAAAGCAGCAGUGUUUCCUAACCUCAUAGUCCCUUUCCUGGAGAUAGCUACUUUCCAUUCUUGAGACUGUUUCUUUUGGUGUUUUAAUCCACAUUUCUUUAUACCAUGCUUAUACCUCCAUUUCUUAAAUUAUGAAAUUGAGACACUAUGUAUUGGCUUUCUUUUAUUAGAGCUGAAUUAUCAACUUCGUUUU
rnacentral:lncRNA from 10 species